rnacentral:rRNA from 1 species
GAUGAACGCUAGCGGGAGGCUUAACACAUGCAAGUCGAGCGGGAUUAGCAGCAAUGCUAUGAGAGCGGCGCACGGGUGCGUAACGCGUAUGCAACCUGCCUUAUACAGGGGAAUAGCCCAUGGAAACGUGGAUUAACGUCCCAUAGGAUCACUUUAUCGCAUGGUUUAGUGAUUAAAACUGAGGUGGUAUAGAGGGGCAUGCGUCUGAUUAGGUAGUUGGUGAGGUAACGGCUCACCAAGCCGACGAUCAGUAGGGGUUCUGAGAGGAUUACCCCCCACACUGGUACUGAGACACGGACCAGACUCCUACGGGAGGCAGCAGUGAGGAAUAUUGGUCAAUGGCCGGAAGGCUGAACCAGCCAUCCCGCGUGCAGGAUGACGGCCCUAUGGGUUGUAAACUGCUUUUGUACCUGAAGAAACCUGGUUACGUGUAACCAGUUGCCGGUAAGGUAUGAAUAAGCAUCGGCUAACUCCGUGCCAGCAGCCGCGGUAAUAC